AACGAACGCUGGCGGCAGGCCUAACACAUGCAAGUCGAGCGGCCCUUUCGUGGUCAGCUGCGGACACGUGCGUCACGCGUCGGAAUAUGCCCUUCUCUACGGAAUACUCCUGGGUAACUGGGGGUAAUACCGUAUACGCCCCUCUGGGGAAAGAUUUAUCCGGCGAGGAUUAGCACGAGUUGGUUUAGCCGGUGGGUGGGGUAAUGGCCUAUCAAGGCGUCGAUCCAUAGCUGGGUUGAGAGGAUGAGCAGCCACACUGGGACUGAGACCCGGCCCAGACUCCUACGCGAGGCAGGAGUGGGGAAUCUUGGACAAUGGGGGCAACCAUGAUGGAGCCAGGCUGCGUGAGUGAUGAAGGUCGGAGGGAUGUAAAGCACUUUAAUCUGGGACGAUAAUGACGGUACCAGAAGAAGAAGCCCCGGCUAACUCCGUG
rnacentral:rRNA from 1 species